rnacentral:rRNA from 1 species
GACGAACUGUGCAAACGUUAUUCGGAAUCACUGGGCUUAAAGGGUGCGUAGGCGGUCUUGUAAGUAGGGUGUGAAAGCCCCCGGCUCAACCGGGGAACUGCGUCCUAAACUGCGAGGCUUGAGUGAGGUAGGGGUGUGUGGAACUUCCAGUGGAGCGGUGAAAUGUGUUGAUAUUGGAAGGAACGCCGGUGGCGAAAGCGACACACUGGACCUUGUCUGACGCUGAGGAACGAAAGCGUGGGUAGCAAACAGG